rnacentral:misc_RNA from 1 species
UUUCCGUAUGUGAACCUGCGGAAGGAUCAUUACAGUAGUCGCCCGGGUUGCCGCAAGGCCUCCCGGGUAACCUACCACCCUUUGUUUAUUACACUUUGUUGCUUUGGCGGGCCUGCCCUCGGGCUGCUGGCUCCGGCCGGCGAGCGCUUGCCAGAGGACCUAAACUCUGUUUGUCUAUACUGUCUGAGUACUAUAUAAUAGUUAAAACUUUCAACAACGGAUCUCUUGGUUCUG